rnacentral:rRNA from 1 species
AUUGAACGCUGGCGGCAGGCUUAACACAUGCAAGUCGAGCGAGCGGCGGACGGGUGAGUUAUGUCUGGGAAACUGCCUGAUGGAGGGGGAUAACUACUGGAAACGGUAGCUAAUACCGCAUACCAUCGGAUGUGCCCAGUUGGGAUUAGCUAGUAGGUGGGGUAAUGGCGCACCUCGGCGACGAUCCCUAGUUGGUCUGAGAGGAUGACCAGCCACACGGGAACUGUGACACGGUGCAGACGCCUACGGGAGGCAGCAGUGGAGAAUAGUGCACAAUGGGCGAAAGCCUGAUGCAGCCAUGCCGCGUGUGUGAAUAAGGCCUUAGGGUUGUAAAGCACUUUCAGCGAGGAGGCGUUAGGCGCAGAAGAAGCACCGGCUAACUCCGUGCCAGCAGCCGCGGUAAUUC